rnacentral:pre_miRNA from 1 species
UGCAUAUUCCCUCCGUCCGGAAAUACUUGUCAGCGAAAUGGAUGUAUUUAGAAAUAUUUUAGUUUCAUUUUUAUCCAUUUAUGCGACAAGUGUUUCCGGACGGAGGGAGUAGAGU